GCCAUUUUAGCUCAUGACCAAGAUGGCGUUCAGAGGGACGAACGCCUUCUGCAAAAAGAAGGUACAGAAGGUAGAUGAAAAGCCAGAGGAAAAUGAGGGCAUCAUCGACAUCAGAGAACUAUGGGGAGAGACGGCCAACAGCAGGCACAAGGACCCGGUUCUUCGUGUUGCGUUCGCCACCUUCCUGCCUCCUCCCAGUAGCCCCGUGACACACCUGCUCACAUCCUGUCUGUUGCAGAAAUGAGGCGACCAAAGCAGGAAAGCACGCCCACAGGAUGCUGAUCAGCACGGCAUGCGUUGACGAGUAGAAACCAACAGACAUGACCAGUGAGGGUACUGGCAGUGGCUGUGUGGCUCUAGUCACGCUACGUCACCAUG